rnacentral:rRNA from 1 species
UACGGGGGGGGUAAGCGUUGUUCGGAAUUACUGGGCGUAAAGGGCUCGUAGGCGGCCAACUAAGUCAUACGUGAAAUCCCUCAGCUUAACUGGGGAACUGCGUGUGAUACUGGAUGGCUUGGAUUUGGGAGAGGGAUGCGGAAUUCCAGGUGUAGCGGUGAAAUGCGUAGAUAUCAAGAGGAACACCUGCGGCGAAAGGCGGGUUGCUGGGCCGACACGUGACGCUGAUGCGCGAAAGCUAGGGGAGCGAACGGG